AGCAGUUGAAGCCAAGCCAACUGCUGGAUGGAGCUGAGAGGCUUUUGGUUUCUGGUUGAGGUGGAGAGAGAAGCUAGUUGUAUCUCUGGGACUUGAGUUUAUCAAGUUGGAGGGGACCUUUGGCUUGGAUAUUGGACUUGUUUCUUUUUCUUUGGACUGCUCCUGAGACCCUUGGGACCUUCACUUUUUGAACUUCUUCCUGGAUCCUGUGUUGGCUUGCUGGGUGAAUCUUUUGUGGAGGAUUCCCCAUCCGCUAAGAGACUGGAGACCUUGCACUAGUUCUUGUGAUCUAAUUGCACACGUGUAGCAGUCAAACUGUCCAUCAUCUGCCUCAUUCUUCCUGAAUAACCAGCCUACCUUCUUUUCUCAUCAUAAAUAUCCUCAAUGUCCUUUAUGUCACUUCUAGAGUAUAACCCAUCCUUGAGAACAGGCUACGGACUGAUAAUGCUCACUUAUGUGCCUUACCUAUGGCCUUUGACUCACCUGUCAUUUGUAUUCUUCUACAGUCACCCUGAUCUUUUACUUGUGCCCACUGGGUGAAUUAAAAGAUUAAAGUAAUGGCAAACAUCAACUACAUUGUUACCUGAAAUUUUCCAUUGUUUUAAACCACACCUUUUCCAGGUGGAAUUUCCUUGCUUACUUUGCCUCCCUAUGUACACCCCAACAACUCAAUAGAGGAAGUAAGA